rnacentral:siRNA from 1 species
AGACAUACUUGAAGCGCUGCUU